UAGGGAAUUUUGCGCAAUGGGCGAAAUGCCUGACGCAGCGACGUCGCGUGUGGGAUGAAGGGUUUCGGCUCGUAAACCACUGUCAAGCGGGAAGAUGAGGUGCGUAGUUAAUACCUGCGCAUCUUGACGGUACCGCUGGAGGAAGCACCGGCUAACUACGUGCCAGCAGCCGCGGUAAUACGUAGGGUGCAAGCGUUGUUCGGAAUCAUUGGGCGUAAAGGGUGUGUAGGCGGAUUGGUAAGUCAGAUGUGAAAGCCUUGAGCUUAACUCGAGAAGUGCAUUUGAUACUGCCAGUCUAGAGUUCAGGAGAGGGAGGCAGAAUUCCUGGUGUAGAGGUGAAAUCCGUAGAUAUCAGGAGGAAUACCAGAGGCGAAGGCGGCCUCCUGGACUGACACUGACGCUGAGACACGAAAGCGUGGGGAUCAAACAGG
rnacentral:rRNA from 1 species